rnacentral:rRNA from 1 species
AUUGAACGCUGGCGGCAGGCCUAACACAUGCAAGUCGAGCGAGCGGCGGACGGGUGAGUAAUGUAUGGGGACUGCCCGAUAGAGGGGGAUAAAUACUGGAAAAGGUGGCUAAUACCGCAUACUCCCGGCUUACUCAUAUGGGAUUAUCUAGUAGGUGAGGUAAUGGGUCACCUAGGCGACGAUCCCUAGCUGGUCUGAGAGGAUGAUCAGCCACACUGGGACUGAGACACGGUCCAGACUCCUACGGAGGCAGCAGUGGGGAAUAUUGCACAAUGGGCGCAAGCCUGAUGCAGCCAUGCCGCGUGUAUGAAGAAGGCCCUAGGGUUGUAAAGUACGUUCAGUUGGGAGGCGUUACUGACAGAAGAAGCAACGGCUAACUCCGUGCCAGCAGCCGCGGUAAUUC